rnacentral:rRNA from 3 species
AAAUUGAAGAGUUUGAUCAUGGCUCAGAUUGAACGCUGGCGGCAGGCCUAACACAUGCAAGUCGAACGGUAGCACAGAGAGCUUGCUCUCGGGUGACGAGUGGCGGACGGGUGAGUAAUGUCUGGGAAACUGCCUGAUGGAGGGGGAUAACUACUGGAAACGGUGGCUAAUACCGCAUAACGUCGCAAGACCAAAGAGGGGGACCUUCGGGCCUCUUGCCAUCAGAUGUGCCCAGAUGG